GACGAACGCCGGCGGCGUGCCUAACACAUGCAAGUCGAGCGAAUGAAGUUCCUUCGGGAAUGGAUUUAGCGGCGGACGGGUGAGUAACACGUGGGCAACCUGCCUCAUAGAGGGGAAUAGCCUUCCGAAAGGGAGAUUAAUACCGCAUAAGAUUGUAGUACCGCAUGAUACAGCAAUUAAAGGAGCAAUCCGCUAUGAGAUGGGCCCGCGGCGCAUUAGCUAGUUGGUGAGGUAACGGCUCACCAAGGCGACGAUGCGUAGCCGACCUGAGAGGGUGAUCGGCCACAUUGGGACUGAGACACGGCCCAGACUCCUACGGGAGGCAGCAGUGGGGAAUAUUGCACAAUGGGGGAAACCCUGAUGCAGCAACGCCGCGUGAGUGAUGACGGCCUUCGGGUUGUAAAGCUCUGUCUUCAGGGACGAUAAUGACGGUACCUGAGGAGGAAGCCACGGCUAACUACGUGCCAGCCGCCGCCGUAA
rnacentral:rRNA from 1 species